rnacentral:rRNA from 1 species
AGAGUUUGAUCAUGGCUCAGGACGAACGCUGGCGGCGCGCCUAACACAUGCAAGUCGAACGGAGUUUGUUGGAUUGAUCCUUCGGGAGGUUGAUAGCAAACUUAGUGGCGGACGGGUGAGUAACACGUGAGCAACCUGCCUUUCAGAGGGGGAUAACGUCUGGAAACGGACGCUAAUACCGCAUGACAUAAGGGAAGGGCAUCCUUUUCUUAUCAAAGGAGCAAUCCGCUGAAAGAUGGGCUCGCGUCCGAUUAGGCAGUUGGCGGGGUAACGGCCCACCAAACCGACGAUCGGUAGCCGG